rnacentral:rRNA from 1 species
AUGAGGAUCUCCAAGGAAGGCGGGAUCUCUCUGCAACGGAUCAGGCGCCCUUCCAACCGCACGCCGGCUGCCCCGGUUGCAAAGGUGGCUGAGCGCCUUGUUUGUCGCAGCCUGGGCAUAACCAAAGAUGGUGAAGAUGUCACCUCUUCGACCCUGAAUGUGUUCACGAAGAGAUUCAAGGAGCAGCUCCCCCCUGAAGUGAUUGUGGCCAUGAGGGACUUUUUCAAACUUGACGAUAGUGCUGUUGCUGCUGUCGAGGACGCACUGAUAGACCACGGUGGUGCAGCGGCUAUGGACUCUGUGUGGCUGGAACAAGAUGGCCAGGGAUCACAGCUGGCGAUCGCCUGA